AGAUGAAUUGAUUGAGAUUAAUGGUAUUUUUCCAAUCAUACAUUUAACAUUUUCUUAUACUGAAAUGUGGUCCAAUUAACUGCUUGGUACAUUUAAGUUAAGUGAAAUUGUGACCUUGUACAUCACGAUUUCAGCUUUGUCACUACUCACCAUAAUUACCAGUCUUUUGCUGAAAGCACCUACUAAAGGGUUAAUAAAUUUUGUGGUCAAUGAGAUUAACAUUGCUAUUGAUCUUAGAUAAUUAAGUUUGCUUGUCUAUCGUUAGUAUUUUGCCUUUCUUUUUUUCUCAGCUGAGGAUAGAAUGUCCUCAUGACUUAUCAUAAAAAAAUGCAUGUGAAAAUAAGCUUUCAAAUAUAAAAUUGCAAUGUUAGCAGAUCAUGUUAAGAGAUGCUUGAUGAGUUUCAAUACAUUGCUAGCAAUUUCAGGCAGCUUAAGAUCUCUGAAAUAAAAGAUUUAUUCCCAAAAACUAAAAAGGACAGUGUGAAGGUCUCAUCCAUUAUUAGAAUUCAGAAAAGAAGUGGGAAUGAUGAAACGCCAGGUCACCAAGGGCUUCAAUGAUUUGUUGUACCUAUAAAGGCCAGCAUUUUUCUUGGGCUAAUAUGUCUUUACUAAAAAAGUAGUGCAUGUUAUUUCUGGUUUUCGAAAAGGAGAGAAACAAGAACG
rnacentral:misc_RNA from 1 species